GCGUAACCAUGGUUACAGGGGGACGCUUUGGAGCUCUCCUGCUCAACAGCAAAAGAUUUCAGGGCCUCCUCCUGCUUCACUGGCAUAUAUCCAUCACCAGAGGGAUCCACUGACCUGCCUGCUGACAUCAGACCACACCCCUGUGUCAUGUGACCUGGCUGGAGUAGCAAAGCUGGACUCAGACCUGGCUCAGGCAAGUUCAAAGGCAGUUGUGGUAGAGAGAGCAGGGAGUAUAGUAAAGCACUGGAAGGAUGAGGUGGAAACAGGAAGCGUGUGGAUUCAGUGGACUUGGCAUCCUCCAUGACCCUAUCCUGACUUAGCUGCUCCUCUUCCACACUUCUGAAUCCAAGCUGGGAGGCUCCAGGCUGUCAGCCUGCUGCUUCAUAAUCAGAGCAAACCUGAAUAAACACCUCUGCUGCUUCCAAACAGCCUCUGAAAA